ensembl:miRNA
GCCUCGCUGCCCCUCCGCCUUCUCUUCCCGGUUCUUCCCGGAGUCGGGAAAAGCUGGGUUGAGAGGGCGAAAAAGGAUGAGGG